rnacentral:lncRNA from 1 species
UGGGAGAGGAACGUGUGUGAAUGCCUGCUAGCCCAGCAUUGUGUCAUCUUCAAUGGCCAAGUAAAACGAAGACCUGAGAAGUGGGGGACACCAACCUUCCAAGGCCCUUCUUUCCAAGCACGGAGAGAUCCCCACAAGCCCUAAAUCCCUUCGCUGUGUUUUCCAGAUUAGCAGUCGAAAUGGGGAGACUCAUCCUAAGUGUGGGUGGCACCAGUUCAUAACCUGGAGGUCUUCGGUUGGAUAAAAUGGAGAAAGCCAGCCCAGCGCCAGUGUUCAUCUCUCUCUGCUUCCCAGCUACAGACGCAAUGGAACCAGAUGCUUCAACCACUUCAUCUAUGCUACCCUACCGUAGUGGACUGUACCUUCAAACCGUUAGCCAAAAUAAAUGUUUCCUUCCUUA